UACGUAGGGGGCAAGCGUUGUCCGGAAUCAUUGGGCGUAAAGAGCGUGUAGGCGGCCAGAAAAGUCCGCUGUGAAAACUCGAGGCUCAACUUCGAGCUGUCGGUGGAAACUUUCUGGCUAGAGUCCGGAAGAGGAGAAUGGAAUUCCUGGUGUAGCGGUGAAGUGCGCAGAUAUCAGGAAGAACACCCGUGGCGAAGGCGGUUCUCUGGGACGGUACUGACGCUGAGACGCGAAAGCGUGGGGAGCGAACAGG
rnacentral:rRNA from 1 species